AUCCAUGUUAGAAUAAAUGUUGUAUUUUUGAAUGGUUAAUGGUUCGAAUGGUUUUGGUUUCUGAAGACUUUCUUCCAUGAUGUACCACGAAAUAAUGCACAAAUAUAUGAAUUAUCAGGAGGAACAGUCUGAUGGAACACGGAACAGUUAAAUGGUUUAACGCCGAAAAAGGUUAUGGUUUUAUUACACGCGAGGAUGGUAGUGAUGUAUUCGUACAUUUCUCAGCAAUCCAAGGCGACGGUUACAAGACUUUGGAAGAAGGUCAAGCCGUUACAUUCGAUAUCGAAGAUAGCGAUCGCGGACCACAAGCAUCAAACGUUGUUAAGGCAUAAUAACUUAUAAUAAUGUUUUAAAAGCCGACUCAUAUGAGUCGGCUUUUUUU
rnacentral:sRNA from 1 species